UAAGGUAUAAAAAAGAACGUGCGUCAACACGUUCUCUGUAGACCCGUUUAAGACGGUAGCAAAAUUUUAGACUAAAAA
rnacentral:sRNA from 1 species